rnacentral:rRNA from 1 species
UAACAGCUAUAAUGUACUUGAUGUUGAUUAUCCAACGUGGAUAACUGUGGCAAUUCUAGAGCUAAUACAUGCACCAAAGCUCCGACUUUUGGACGAGCGCAUCUAUUAGAUUAAAACCAAUCGGGUUUUUAACCCGUUAAUUGGUGACUCUGAAUAGCUAUGGCUGAUCGCAUGGUCUAGUACCGGCGACGUAUCUAUCAAGUGUCUGCCUUAUCAACUUUCGAUGGUAGUUUAUGUGCCUACCAUGGUUGUAACGGGUAACGGAGAAUAAGGGUUCGACUCCGGAGAGGGAGCCUGAGAAACGGCUACCACAUCCAAGGAAGGCAGCAGGCGCGCAAAUUACCCACUCUCAGAAUGAGGAGGUAGUGACGAAAAAUAACGAGACCGUUCUCUUUGAGGCCGGUUAUCGGAAUGGGUACAAUUUAAACCCGUUAACGAGGAUCUAUGAGAGGGCAAGUCUGGUGCCAGCAGCCGCGGUAAUUCCAGCUCUCAAAGUGUAUAUCGUCAUUGCUGCGGUUAAAAAGCUCGUAGUUGGAUCUGCGUCUCAGGACCUGGUCCAUCCAUUGGAUGAGAACUGGGCUCCUAGGCUAAUAUUGCCAGUUUUCCUUACGUUACCUUGAUUGGUUGCGUAUGGUGGCUAGCAAGUUUACCUUGAAAAAAUUAGAGUGCUCAAUGCGGGCUAAUGCCUGAAUACUCGUGCAUGGAAUAAUGAAAUAGGAUCUCGGUUCUAUUUUGUUGGUUUUCUGAUCUGAGAUAAUGGUUAAGAGGGACGGACGGGGGCAUUCGUAUCGCUGCGUGAGAGGUGAAAUUCUUGGACCGUAGCGAGACGUACGACUGCGAAAGCAUUUGCCAAGAAUGUCUUCAUAAUCAAGAACGAAA